rnacentral:rRNA from 1 species
CGUAGGUGGCGAGCGUUAUCCGGAAUUACUGGGCGUAAAGCGUGUGCAGGCGGGCUAGCAAGUGGUGUAUGAAAGCUCCCGGCUCAACCGGGAAGGGUUAUGCCAGACUGCUAGUCUUGAGUGCGAGAGAGGAAUGUGGAAUUCCGGGUGUAGUGGUGAAAUGCGUAGAGAUCCGGAGGAACCCCCAGAGGCGAAGGCGGCAUUCUGGCUCGCAACUGACGCUCAGACACGACAGCAUGGGGAGCGAACGGGAUUAGAAACCCCGGUAGUCCAUGCCGUAAACGAUGCCAACUAGGCGCUGCGGGACUCAACCCCCGCGGUGCCGUAGCAAACGCGAUAAGUUGGCCGCCUGGGGAGUACGGCCGCAAGGCUA